AAAACCAGGAUACCAGCAUUGUUGAACUGAAAUUCUGGGAAGUGUUUCCUGAGCGUCAGUACAUAGAAGCCGUGUUCCAGAGGUGGCCAAGGUUGCGCCUGUGCUGACAGCUGAACUUUAGCUAGUGUAAGAGUCACCCAGGUGUUACUUGUUCUGAAGUCAUGAAGGGGUCAUGGAGAGCAGCUGAGGCUUGGCACUGUGAGAGGCCCCAACAGAAGGUGCAGCCUCAGUGACAGUUGGAGGCCCAGGACUGAAGAACCCAUGCUUGACACGACGAAGGAAGCCUAUGAAAGGCUAUUGGUGAAGCGCAGCCCAGUUGCCGCAGAAGACCCCAGCAUUUUGGAGACACCAGUACUGUGGGAUGAGCACCAAGAAGAGCAGGAGCAGUGGAGUGGAGCCAGUGGGAGCCCAGAGACAAGCUGUGUGCACUGCAGACGGCAGAGCUGGAGAAGUCACCUAAGCCCUGGGAGGAGCCCACAAGACCGUGAAUGAAGCCCAGACAUUGGACUGAGCUACUUACAGUUUUGGAAUUUGGUCUUGCUUUAAUUUGAUUGUGACUGUGCUCUGGUACUUCCCUCUUAAAGUAUUUAAUUUAUUUUUGAUUUUAUAGGAACCCACAGUAGAGAGGCUUUGCAUUUUAAGACUUUAGAUUUUAAAAGAGACCGACUGUUUUCUUUAAGGCUGAAAUUUGAAGUGUUUGGAUUUGUAAAGGCUGUGAGAUUUUUAAAGUUAUUUAUAUUUUAACAUAAAUUAAAAGAUCUUGGAGAUGAAUGAGAAAGGACAAGUUGUGGUUGAACAGUGGUGCACUUCUGUGCCAAGCUGACGAAGGCUCAAUUUUGCUGGACAGUUUUGUGCCAGCUUGACACAAGCUGGAGUCAUCUGAGAGGAGGGAGCCUUGACUGAGAGAAUGCCUCCAUGGGGUCGGGUUGUAGGCAGACCUAUAGGGCAUUGUCUUAAUUGGUAACUGAUGGGGGAGGGCCCAGCCUAUUGUGGGUGGGGCCAUCCCUGGGGUUGGUGGGCCUGGGCUCUAUAAGAAAGCAGGCUGAGGGAGCCAUCAAGAGCAAGCCAGUGAACAGCAUCCCCCCAUGGUCUGUGCAUCAGCUCCUGCCUCCAGGUUCCUGUCUUGACUUUCUUCAGUGAUGAGCAUCAACGUGGAAAUGGUCUACUGAGACAGGAGUGUCAUUAAUGCCAAACAACUUCAACAUUUGGAAGGGCACCAAAAAAUCAGGUUGUCCCAGUUGCAAGAGGAGGACAAGAAAAUCAAGGUCACCUAGUUCCUGACAAAGGAAACAGUCACCCUUCCAGGCACCUCUUGAGAACCUUGUCCCAUCCUUUACCAUUUAACAGCAGGAUAUUAUCCAAAGGCUCACCAGUCUUCGUUGUUCAACUGUGACACAGCAAUGCCAUCACUUCCCUCUUUCUGGGUCAUGAGGACAACGUUUGAAAAUGUACUGUCUCCUUUGUCCCACCCUGGUCCUGCCCCGUGACUUGAUUCAUGAAAUACACACAUUGGUUUUAAAGACCAAAAGAUCCCCUGGGAAGUGCAGUUUCUCAACCUUGGCACCACUGGCAUUUACCUGAAUAAUUUUGUCAUGGAGGCUGUUCUGACUGUUGUAGGAUAUUUAGUAGUAUCCUUCAUCUUGAUCCAUAAAUAUCAUUCCCAUUCCUCGGUUAUGACUCCGGACUUCAGAUGCCACCAUAUGUCUGUCCUUCAUCAGUGAUCCGUGUUCAAGAACACACCCCAGAGUUUCCCUUCUGAGCUUUUCCUUAGCCCAUGAUGCCUGACAGAAAUGGAGCUGAAAGCGAUGGCUGGGCUGUGAUGAGGCCAGCAAUAUUUCACCCGAGCAAGCUGAGACCUCAGGGGAUGGAAAAGGCAUUCCGCUCCAAGCUCAGCGAUGGUGUUGGUGCUGCAUCAAGACAAAGCCCAUGGCUCUUCCUCCCUCCCUCCUCCUCCUCCUCCCCACAUGGUUCAAUUUCAUGGCAUUCACAGUCUCGGGACAAAGGAAUGUUCCAAAUUCCAGACCCCCAUCCUGACGCAGCCUUUGUAAGCCCAGGGAAGGAGACCUACAGCCCCACAUCUUCUGGAUAUCAGCAGCUGAUUGUGGACUACUUUGGUUUUCAACUUUUAACCUUGGUGUUCAGAAAGUUUCUUGACCUUGUGGGUGGAGACAGAGUUAAUAAAUAAUUUAAAAAAGA